CGUAGCUCAGUCGGAUAGAGCGUUGGUCUCCGAAGCCAAAGGUCAUGGGUUCAACUCCCAUCGGGC
rnacentral:tRNA from 1 species